UGCUGCAAGAGUGAAAAGCAAGAUCUGUAUUUUCAAAAAUGGCUAUUAGUUGAUGUUACUGUUAUCUUUGGCAAAUAAACUUGAAGGAUAUUAACAGGAUCUCGCAAGCCAGUAACCAAAUUCACUAAUCCAAGCAGUCCAGAUAGCACCAGACCACUUCACACAGGACUAUAAGAGGGAUUUAUUAAACAAGGCACUGAAAGCCAUAGAAGACAGGUUAUAGGAAAUGUACUGCAGAGCUUAUCAGUCAGCUAGGAAGAGGCAGAAGCAAAACUUUACUGCUAGACACCUCUCCCAAACACAUGUGGAGCAUGGGUGGUGUUCAGUGCUCAUAGAAGAGACCCUUUCCAAGCUAAAAUCAGAUGCUCCUGUGUCAAAUGUUGUGAGGAUUUUUCUUAAAUGGCCAACCUUGGAACAGAGUCCUACAGUAUGUGCCGUGUUAGGAACUGCAUUGUUCUGUUGGACAGAAUUUGCUGUGUUUACUAAGGCUCCUUUUACCCUAAAACCUUGCAGGUUCAGCAUCUUGAAGUAGGAACAGCUCUGUAUUCACAUAUGCAAGCAUAGACCUGCGGGUAGAGUUGUGUGUUACAGCUCUCCUGCUGUCACAGUGCCUCCAGGACUGCCAAAGAUGGUGGAUUUUUCCAACUCCAGCAUUUCCUUAGCCUGGCAGGAGCCAGACCAGGAAGAUGUGAUAUCGGGAUACAUACUAGAGAUGUACCACUUACACUGUGGGAGGCUUGUAGGAGAAACAAAUACUACUUCUGAACCCAAUCUUUGAAUGAAGCUGGUAUGGGAGAAGCAGUGGAGUUACAGGAAGGAAUUCUAGCAAUGCCACCUUCAGGUGAGACCUGCAGUAUCCAUCCAGCUGGAACUCCCAUCUAUCAGCUGUUACUUUCUUAUUAUAUACUGUGUUUUGUAAAGGGUUAUCAAAUUAAUCUUGCACAAAAGAACAUUCAGCAUCCCAGCUCUGCUGCUUUUUGCUGAGUUUUCAGAGGUGCUGAGGGGAGAUGGAGAAGUGCACAAGCUGUGCUUGUGCCAGAUUAAAAUCAUCUGCCAUCCUUCUUGCUGAGCUGUUCCCUGAAUGUCAGGUGUAACAGCAGUUGUUUCUUCCACCAUCUGACCUUUCACAUCGCAUCUCACAUGUGAUUACAGAGGUCACUGUUGGACGAUUCUCUGAUUCCUGUCAUGGAUACUGUAGUCUGAGUAUGGGUUAGGGAGGUAGGUACUACAGCAAAUAAACCAUCAUGUUUGAAAUGGUGUUUGUUGUAAAUAUGAUGGUGCUGAGACAGGAUUAUAAUUCUUUCAGGCUCUCGGUUUGAAUGGGGUGAACAGUCAGGUGCCAGCAUGCUGAAGUUGAAAUAAUAUUAUCAGAGGUCAUGCUUCAAAGACACUAGUUAUGUCUUGAGAAUGAAUGUAUCAUGGCCUGCCAUGAAAUCCCUAGAUAGCUUACUUUUUGAGGUAGCAAAGUAUUUAAAUGUUUAUUGUUUAGUACUUACAAUUGCUUAAUUAUUAGGAAAUUCAGACUUUUUUAUGUCUAAAACACUCCCAGGUAGCAAAGCAUGGUGCUGACUGCCCUCAGUAGCAAUAACACCAGCAAGAAAAGAUUCAUCAGUCACAUUACAUAGCGUUGAUUCCUAUACAGUAAAAGGACAAUCAGGCUUGUCUGAGGAAGUCUCAGAAGUCACAUCCAGGUGAUACUAGGAAAAGAGCUGGCAACAUUGCAACCCUUACACUAAGUGCCUUCUGCUGAAACAGUUUGAAGGUUUCUUCUUCCAGUCUCCAGGCAUAAUUCAGCAGUUUGAAGAAUUGCUUUACCUUACUGUACAAUCUCUCACUCUUUUAAUUUUUAAUUUCUCUCUCUUUGUUUUAAUUUUAUCCACCCCAUAGGUUUGAUAUGACUGUGAGGCUGAAGAGCCACAUGGUGGUUGGUGCUGGGACAGCACCAUGCAUUUUUUGAGCAUGCAACUACAGUUAAUGCUAACUGAAGUGAAAUCAUUCUUGCUUAAACCUCGAGUGUUCUAGGGGAGUCACUGGGUUGCAAAGACAAUGCUUGAUGUCCCAGCACUGUCCUUUCUGAGGUACAAUUUCUAUUAACUUGGAUGUUGAUCUCAUUUCUGUAGAGGCUAAGGGCAACUUCUGUGCUUUCCUUUUUUUUGAAGCCUAGACUACUGCAUGAGCUGAGGCUUUACAGUACUUUGCAGAAUCAGCCCCAGUGUAAGAAUGUAUCUCUUAGUCUAAACUGUACAAGUUUAUCUGUAUUCACACCAGCUGUUUUCCCUCAGCUUUCAAGAUGAUCAAGCUAAUGAACUGUAGUAUAAGGUUUAUGUGGCAUCUCCCAAGCUAAUCCAGCUCUGUGCUGAGUGCAAAACCUUUACAGCUUGAAGAAAUUUCUAGGAUUGUUGUCCUUGAAAUAUUUUUCUAUCAGGCUGAUCAUGCACAAGUGGCUCCUGUAGACACAGAUAUCUCUUUUGUGCUCAAAGAUGUAGCUUGUUUCUGUUGCCUCCCAAGCAGGAAGCAGAACACUAUAGCCGUAUGUUUGUUGUGGCCAGGACUCGCCACCACCGCCAGUGAUGUGGCAAAAAGAAGGCAUAUCAGCAACAGGGAGAACAAGAACCAUUCUCAAUCCUUAUUCACAACACCAUGCAAUUUGUUUCUGACCUGUACCAGGUUAUCCUCAGGAAUAAUCAUGGAGAAUCCCUUUAUGACAUUCAAAUGCAAGUUGCAGGUACAGUAUAGAGCAAACUUGAUCAUCUUGGUCACCCCUGGGUACUUACAAGAGGUAUUCCUCUGCUGACAGAAAUUUCACACAAUUUCUCCAUCAAUACUGGAGUUGGGAAGGUUGGGUUUUCCCUUGGAGAAAGAAAAAAAAAAAAAAAAAAAAAAAUUAUCCCAAUCAUACACACACCUUAUCUAAAAAAAGCCACAGGAGUAAUCCAAAAUGUUUCCAUUCAAGGGGAGAAAGACUUCCUGGUCAGAAAGGAUUUUCCUACGUUGUCACGGUGUUUCCUAAGUCCCAUCUUCAUGCUAGCUCAGAGCCACUUAGCUGAGCCAAGCAGCAUGGUUCAGUGCCGAGGGGUAAGGAAGGUACUUCUAGGGCUUUGGUCACUCUGUCCCAUGUGGAAGGAAAUGGUGAAGCAGUCAUUGCUCCAGGCAUCACCAAAUGCUGCCUUGUUUUUCAUGCCAUUAUUUGACUGGGCAAAUCCCCCUAACAGCACAACACAACAGUGUUUGUCUGCUCAGCAGUCUGGUGACACCAUUUCCACCACAAGUGGGCCUGUGACAGCCAAGUGGAGGCAGGCUGGCUUGCUCCUUAUAGGGACUGCUGUUACUGUAAUGAUUUGCUGGGGGUUCGAGGGGACCUUUGCAGUAUAUUUGGUACUUGUCAACUCUUCAGAGAGUGCUUUUCAAAACUAACAGGCUUAUUUUUUCAUGAGAAGGGAACUACAUGCACAGGGAAAAUUGGUCCUCAGGUUACUCAGGCUAGAAGAAAUCAAGGAAAGAAAUACUUCUGUAGACACACAGGGGCUACGGAGGGGAGGAGGUGAAGUGAAAACUUUUUGCCUCAGAAAAGUACAGAGGGAGGGUCCCAAACAGAAGAAGCCACUACUUAAAUGUGCUCAUUAAUUCUUAGAUUUCCCCUGACCACCCACUGAUGUGCAGCUGGUUGAAGAAAUCCCAAAUGCUGUGAUCAUAAAUCAUAACUCAGCGGUAGAAGACAACUAGCAGACAGAUUAUUGUGUCCUGAAAUGUGAUGUCAGUUCUGCCACACGGUUCACAGCUGCAGAGAAGGUCUACAGCAAUAAGUACAUUGUCACAGGCCUGCUCCCAGGGAGGAAAUACUUCUGAGUCACUAUCUGCAAUGACAAUGGGAACACUGACCCUCUGGAUUCACAGGAGCAGGGGUACAUCUCCAAAGACAGAGGCAGCUGGCAACAAGGAGAAGGAGGAGAGGAGGACAGGAUGUGGCAGCCAAGCAAAAGCCCAGAAAGUUGCAGGCAACAGAUGACAGUGCUUCUGGCAGGGUUUUCUCUUCUCCUGCAUCAGUUGUGGAGGAUCCCUACCACACCAUAACAAGCCUGAGAUCUUCAGCACAGAAAACUAACAACCUCCAGAGCUACAAAGGGCAAAAGAAUUUGCAGCAUCAACAGUGCUCCAGGUGCUUGUAACAGCCUCAGCUAAGGGAAGGAACAUUAUUUCUUGCCUGCAUGGAUAAAUUGCAUCAAACCACCUAUCUCCUUUGCACCUGUGUCUCAAGAGACAGAAUGUGAGAUGGUGUUGUGCUGUGGUGUUGGAAAAGGAAGGACUUGAUGCAGGUGACAGGAUCCUUUUUGCUCAGGUGCCAUGGGCCAGGCAUCCAAGGCAGAUGGCUCCUGAACAGGCUCCACAUGCUGCAGGAAAUUCAGGGUGGAGACAAGAUUGUAGAGGCUCCAUCUCAAAUGGACUUGUAAAAUAGCUAAUAAAUCACCCAGAAGAUGGUACAUGACGUCUUUGGAAGAGUGUGUGUUGAUAAUCCUUUGUCUCCAUCAUGCUUAUGCCAUGCAAUGAGUUUUGCCAGGUCUUGCAGUGCUUUAUUGCAGCUACUGGCAUUCACCAGCACAACUCAGGGCCUCCAUUUCUCUGACAAGGGUAAUGAAGUGAAACUCAGCUUGUGCUUGGCUGUCCAACCAGACCUGUUUGCAAGUGGUCAGAAAAUCAUGGUUUUGUUUCACAGGAGAGCUUCCAUCAUUCAGCACAAGCCAGAAGUAACAGGGCUCGGCCUGAACGCUUCCCACCUGCAAAAGGACCAACCUUCAGCUCAGCCACAUGUGGCAGGAGCGGUGGGUCCAAGGGACCUUUUCCACCUCCAGGAUCUCUUCAACUCCUCCUGCAAAAUAAGGCUGGUUUGCUGGCUUCUCUCAUCCCUCCCUUUACUCCAGCCACCUGGGUACUCUCUUCCUUCCCCUGGUUAAGCAAAGUAAGCUUCAGAUGCACUUUCCAGCUUUGCUCCACAACUGACAAGGGUUGAGAGCUAGAAAUAUUCAACUUCUUUUUCUUAAGACCAAGCUGUGGCUAUUUUCCAGAAAAAUACAAUUAAAAAUUUGGCACAGGCCCUGACAGUCCUUGGGUGGUGAACUUGCUGCACUAGUUCUUGGCAUGAGAAAAGUUGCCUUUUGGUGGAGGCACAGGGGAGCAGGCAGUGGGUGAGGAUUAAUCAAACUGGCAUCUAACACAGGCCCCUGUGCAGGGCUGGGCUGCUCCACAUACAGCUGCACACAGAAACAAGAACCACAACAAAGAUUUUCAUUUCCAAGCCAAAAAUUCUGCCUGACUUGCAGUCACCUAAUCUCCAGAUUAACCGUGGCGGGGGAUGGAAACCUAUCAGCACGGAGGUUAAAAUGUUCCAGAAGGGCAUCUUGCCCCCGGACACAGAAAGAAAGGAGGACAUUUGGAGCAGCAGCUUCCCCACAGCCACCUGGCAGCAAGGCACGUGCCUCCUGGCAGCAGGGCGACGGCGGUCUGCACCAGCCUCUCCCAGGGGAAACCACAGCUCAAGUCCCUGCAGCGCGGCAGCACGCCUGGGCACAGGAGGGGCACAGCACAGCCGGCGAGCGCUGGGAAGGAGGUGUUUUGUACCAAGCCAGCUGCACAGCAUGUGAGCGAGGCUCAUCGUGCCGCGGGAGUGCCAGCGAUGCAAGGUGGCAGACGCAGGUGUUGCAAAGGUCUCUUUCCUCGUGUUUGCUCUCCAAGUGUGAUUUUUCCACCACAGGCUGCUGUCUGUCCCUAGCCAUAGAUACUGCUCAAGAGAAGUCUGUGCUACCAUGUGCUUUACCUUAGCCAUGCUGUGAUCUACUACCAAACCCCAAUCAUCUGUGUGGGAUCUGUUUUGUACGGCAGUAAAUUUCUGAAGGGGAUCAUCCAGGGUAGGUUUUAGGAGAAAACUGCAUUGAACACACAAUGUGUGAAGGAUAUUUAAAUAAAUGGCUUGGGAAGGUAAAAGAGAGAAGGCAAGCUCUGCGGCCUUCUCCAGAAGACAACAAAAUAGCUACAACCAUGAAUCCUUGUGCAGUGGUAGGGAGGGAUGUAAGAUAGCAUGGGGAGAAGUCACAAAUAGGAAACAGGAAACACUUCAAAAAACUCCUUGCAAGAGUCCUCGGAAAUGUGAGAGAACAGUCCCAUAACAGCCUAAAAUAGAGGCAGGUGGUGCUGGAGCCAGUGAAAUAAUCCCCGCCACAUCAGGGCACUGCCUGUGCCACAAGUUGCAUAGGAAGCCCAUUCCUGCUUCUUGCCUUUUAAACCAUGACAUUGCCCAAAGCUAUCUUGAGACACUGGUCCAUGUUUUUUCCUCUAGCAAUUAAGGAAGUUACAGCAUCCAUAAAGGUAUCUCCUGCACUGAAUAGAAGAAAUCGUGUUAGCUUAGCUAAUUGUGGUCAACAAGCUAUACAACAGCGUCUCUGGUACCUGCUGCUACGAGGUCAGGCAAAGUAAGAUACCACUACACCAGCCAAUACCUUACUUACAAAGUAACUGGGGUAUGUGCCUUUGGCUUUCUUGCAUUGCAGAGAAGCCUUCAAGAUAGUGAACCCUUUCAUUAGCAGUGUUAACUGAUAAAAAUCAAAUUACAAGCAAACACAUUUCACCCUGAAGACUCAGCUUGGGUGUAUGUAGUUUUGCUAGGGCUUGUUUUGUUGGGUUGAUUUUGUUUGUUUCCAUUACCAAGCAUCAUCUCUCCUGUCUACCAGACUGGCACAGGACCACAAGCAGGGCUACUUUAAAAACCUUUUCUUAACCCGUGGUAGUAAUGAUUGACUCCACAUCUGUAGCAAUCCUAUAGCUGUCAGCAGUAUUGGAGAGUUCCUUCUGAAUAUAGUCAGCAGUGUACCAUUUCCGAUGACAGCAAUGUUCAGCCAGUCCAGAAUUCAGAUGUCUCUGCAGGGCUGUAGGAGCUGUCACAGGCUACUGCUUUCAGGGUAGUCCAUUGGGUCUCAGAAAUAAAAGCAAAAAAAUAGCAUUUGCCUGCCAGCAUCUUGUCUCAGAGCAAAGAUUGCUUUUCCCUCCUGCGAUUCCAGGUCUUCCUUUUGGUGUAGCAGAAAGCAAGCCUCUCCAAACAUUUCCUUAAAGAGCCCCUUCCAGAUGUUUAAAAACCUGAACCACAGUGGGCCAAUCUUUUCAUUUUGCUCAUCAGAGCUGCAUUGCUGGCACCUCAAGGGCACACACCCUUUCCCAGAGAGUGAGAUCACGUGAGGCUAUGUCCCCCAGUGCUGCCCAAGACCUCAGGAGGAUGCUGUGAAGCUGCAGGAAGCUUCGGGAGCCAGCCAGCACCCUGAAAUGCACAGUCAGGGGCUGUCUCAGACAAUUCUUCUCAGGGUGGGAAGGCGCAUUUAUUUGGCUUGUCACACUAAAAUCCAGAUUACAAAUUUCUACUGCUUAUGGAAAAGUCUCCACAGCUCAUCCUGGGGGUGGUCUCCAGGCUACAAGCACACGUUCUCAGGAGACUUGUCAUUAUUUAUAUCACACUCCUCUGUGAAAGAGAAUGCAGAUUUCUGUCACCCAGGAAAAAAUAGUGUUAGGUUUUAUGUUGCUCUAAGCAUUACCUUGGAGGGGCUGGGUAAGCCCGACAUGCUGGCUGUGGGGCACAGGGCCACAGCAGAAAGCAAGUCCUGUUGCCACAGGCAAGUGCCGCACACUGACAUCUGCUCCACAAGCUGUGUGGCAAGACUGGGGCCUCUCUCCAGUCUUUCUGAUAUGGGUGCAGACCCAAAAUAAAAUGCCCCAGGGAGAACUGUCAGUUCCCUCCGUUCCCUCCUUGUCAGCACCAAUGGCAAACUGAGCCUCUAGGUAACAAGAGUGAGGGCUUUGCACACAGAGUGUUUUGUCCCCAGGGCUGAAAUCCAUCUUUUGCCUUCCCUUUCCUAUCUCCAGCUUUAUUUGCACCCCACAAUCCAUCACAUUUAUAUACUUGUUGGAAGGCCCCAGCCACCCCAUAUUUGGCUGCAGCAGAAGGGGAUGCACAGAAGAAUGGGCACUCAGGAGAAAUGGGCACUUGGCAAAGCUCUACCCUGUCCCAUGUGGCUUUGCCAGUAGGGAUUGGUAUUUUGGAAGGAAGGAAGGAAGGUCCUUCCACCCAGAUGCAAUUUCUUCAGCAAACUUCUUCAGCAGAGUAGACCUCAUUUUACCUACAAUCUACGGGGAAUAACGCAGGCCUGAAUGAAGAGCAUUGCAGGCACUGUUGUCACAGCCUUUAUGAUAACAGCUAAAGAGCCAUUGGUGUAGCACAGAAGGCAGGUGGCAUGUGACAGGCUGUACCAGCCCUACCAGCCAUUCCCAAACACAUGCCAAGGCUGAAACCGCCUCCAGCACCCAAAAGGUGCUUUUGCAGCUCUGCUUUCUGGCUCACACAACAGAUCCAUGCACACCUGGCAGGUGAGGAUUUUGCAAAAGCAACGGGAAGGCAGAACUGAGAGGAGGGGAAGGAGGCUGCCAGUGGCUCAGAAAGCUGGCAGAUCUACACAAGAGACUUGUCCUACAAAUCCUUGCAAGGGGCUGCAAUAAGAUCAGCAAAACCUGGCAAAAGCAAGCAGGGCUGUGCUGGGAAACCCAGGAAGGACAGCUCAGCUUGUCUUGUGCCUAAUGGAAAGCUGAAUGAAAAGCUCCACUUGAGAAACAUGUCCUGCAGGCUGAAAGCUUGUGAAACACUGAUGUUAAAGAAAAUGAGAAGGGAAAAUAGUGAUGUGCCCCAAUAAAGUUGUGGUUUUAGAGAGGUGCCACUCUGGUACCUUAUAAAAAAGCAGCAGCCCUCCUUAUGUAAUCAUGAGACGAAUAUGCUUAAGGAGACGGGAGGAUGUAAGGUCAAGGUAUGACAGUGGAGCCACAGAUUUAAUUUCCAAUAUCUAUUUUUGUGCCAAGAUGGUGUGACCUGGGCAAGUCAGUAUCAGGCACAUAUUACAUGAAUUUGGACUUUCCCAGCCAAUCUCAACAGAUGUGGAGUGUGCAGGUGCAAACAUUGGCCUGUGCAAACACUAACCCACACAGUCCAGGAUUCACACUUAGUCAUCAAGGGUUUCACUUGCAAACCCCCGCUGUAAUUGGGCUGCAUAUAUAAAUGCGGAUCAUGCUCACAAAUGAGCAUGUAGCUGCUUAUCGGUGUUAUGCCCUUUAUUUUGAGGGUGCAAGUCCACAGGUGCAUGGGACAUUAGCCCAGUGGAAAUUUCACAAAUGUCAAUUAAGUGCUAAACUUGUCAUCAUGCUCCUUUUAUAUCAGGGUUGCAGGAAAAGCCAUGAAACUUGUUUAGUUUUUCCUGCAAUGGAGCACAAUCUGCACUGCUAUCCCAGCACCUGGCUGGCUCUGAUUUAUGCUGUAACAAAACCAAAAGACACAAGCAAACAGUGAUAUAGGAACCAAGCUAUGGUCUCAGCCAGCAGAAGCCCAGUUCUGCUGAAGCCAUGGGAGACAAAACGACUCACAUAAAGCUGAGGAUCUGCCCUGUGUGUCUAGUAUGUGCUCAAAAUGUGCAGCUGCUUAACGUCAAACGUACCCUCAAUCUCAAGCAACGAUUCAGUCAGCGGCUAUUUGCAACUAGCAGAAAUGUACCCAUUUUGAUGCAUAAUCGGAAAUUUAAUGUCUGAUGCCAACUGGGGCCGUUAUCUGUCUCCAAAGCUGGUUCUGGUGAGGGGCAAAAAGUGAAACCUCACCAUUCAAACCUGACAAAAGUCCAAAGGCCAAUUCAGUAACAUGGCUCAUCUCAUCUCCCCUCAGUCCUGGAAAGUAUGUGUUUUGCAGUAAUCUACAGGAAUUAGUUUUUGGGAGAAAGUGUAGCCUGCUGGUAAGAAACAAGGCAUUUCCAUAAGCUCACAGCAAGAUGAAUCAAAACAGCCACCAUCCUCAUUAACAGGCAGAUCUGCAACACAACAGUCAACCUGCAACACUAAUGCAAGAAGAGACACAAGUUGCACUUAAUGCAGAGAGAAACUGUGCCCUGUGCAGUUCCGGGUCAGAGACUGUGGUGAGCCCCCAGGCUCUCUGCAGUUAUCUGAAAUCCCUCCCACCCUAGCACACUUUAAAUCUUCCAGGAAAGCUCUCACUCAGCCCGUCUACCACCUUUCAGCUCUGGUGGCAUGUAAUCUCCCAGACAGUUUUCUGCGCAUGUCACCUGGAUACUUGUUCACAUUCAGCAUUACAUGGAGCGAUGCUCUAGACUGACACACUUGUCAUACAGAAACCUGUCAUGAGCUUAAAUGCUAUUUAGAUUGUGGCAGCAUAAGAUAGGGAUAUAGGAAGGGUGCCAACAGGCUAGAAGAAGAAAUAGCCAUCAUCUUGAUUUUGGGCAUGCUGCAAUAAGCAAAACCUACUCUCUACUGUAAUGACAAAUCUACUGGGCAUUGUAUGACAUAAAGGGCAGUGGAAAAGUUAAAUGCUAAUGUAACAGCCACUUAGGCCUCCAGGAGGGAAGGGAAUUAUAUAACUAAUAAUCUUUUUGCUGUUCCAAAGUUUCCACACGUUAGCAGAAGACAAGUUCCAGAUGCCAUCUUUUUCCAAGAGCCUAAUUUCACUGGAGUUAUUAUUUCCUCAGUAUUGCGCAGUUACCCACAGAGAAAGAUAACUUCUGUUGUACUUAGUGGUUUGGAUAUAGAUACUUGAAAAGAGAAUGGAAGAAAUUAUCUCUGUCCAUUCUGAGGAAUUAUGUGUAAGUACAGGCUUCUGAACUUGACCCAUAAUCUUCAUGCACAAAGCACACUUUGAACAACAGACGUGUGUGACUUGAGUGACAUAUUUGAGUUACUGAAGCCUUUAAUCUACAGCACUGCCUGCAGCAGUGAUUGGAGCUAACUGCUUAAUGCAACCACACUGGAACACUUUCUAGCCUCCAAUUUCAGUUACCCGUAUCUCAGCCCACCCUCUCACAGCAACAGCUACAGCAAAGAAUGUCAAUGUCAUAGCAAGAAUGCACAAGUUCAGUCUGAAAAAAUAAAUCAUGGCAUGUAACACUAUGCCUAGGCUCUAGCUGGCAUAAAUCAGCACAGCUUUUUGCUCAGUAGGACCAAAGCUUUUAGGCUUCUCCCAAAAGGUGUGACUGACAUAAAUAUUAAUAAGAUCCUGCUAAGCUUACCUAAGGUGAUGACUCCCUCUCUUACUUCAGAGAGUUCAGAUGUUUAGAAAUCUUUUCUAUAAUUCAUUUACAUUGGUUUGGUUUUUAUACAAGUGCCAUAUUUCCAUAAUUGUCUAUGUGGUGUAUAAAUGUGUGUGUUUACAAGCUUCCUGUGUAAUAAAAUCCCAAUUCAUGAUGUA